UGGCAUCACGAGGGCUUAGCUGUCUCCUCUUCCAAGUCAAUGAAAUUGAUCUGCCCGUGCAGAAGCGGACAUAAACACAUAAGACGAGAAGACCCUAUGGAGCUUUAGACACCAGGCAGAUCACGUCAAGUAACCUUAAAUUAACAGGUAAAAACACAGUGACCCCUAGCCCCUAUGUCUUUGGUUGGGGCGACCGCGGGGGAAAACAAAGCCCCCAUGUGGACUGGGGGCACUGCCCCCACAACCAAGAGCCACAACUCUAAGUACCAGAAUUUCUGACCAAAAAUGAUCCGGCGAACGCCGAUCAACGGACCGAGUUACCCUAGGGAUAACAGCGCAAUCCUCUCCCAGAGUCCCUAUCGACGAGAGGGUUUACGACCUCGAUGUUGGAUCAGGACAUCCUAAUGGUGCAGCCGCUAUUAAGGGUUCGUUUGUUCAACGAUUAAAGUCCUACGUGAUCUGAGUUCAAACCGGA
rnacentral:rRNA from 1 species